UUUUUCCUGCUCUCAGCUAGGUUAGAGCAUGAGACUCUUAAUCUCAGGGCUGUGGGUUCAAGCCCCACAUUGGGCAAAAAA